AGAACUGGCCAUGUUUGACCCUUACCGGCCACUAUACGGGCCUUCCUGAACCUGGACUCCUUGGGAGUCGUUUCUCAGCCAUUUGACCCGUGGGACUUGUGGGUUUUGUGCUUUUCUUUCUUUCCCUUUUUCAACUUCAACAGUAGACCCAGAUGUUAGUCGAGUCACGUCCCGCCGCCCUCUGCCCUAGAAAUGCUGGCAAGUACGCGGGCCCGCGAUCGUCACGUGACGCCGUGGUUCAGCGUAUCCUUGCCGGGCAACCGUCUUAGAGACCAGCACCGCUGGCUGCACCAUGAAUGUGAUCUACCCACUGGCGGUCCCCAAGGGGCGCAGGCUCUGCUGUGAGGUGUGCGAAGCCCCAGCCGAGCGGGUGUGCGCGGCCUGCACAGUCACUUAUUACUGUGGCGUGGUACAUCAGAAAGCUGACUGGGACAGCAUCCAUGAGAAAAUAUGUCAGCUCUUGAUUCCACUGCGCACUUGCAUGCCCUUCUACAAUUCGGAGGAAGAACGGCAGCAUGGCCUGCAGCAGCUGCAGCAGCGGCAGAAGUAUUUGAUUGAAUUCUGCUACACCGUAGCCCAGAAAUACCUCUUUGAAGGGAAACACGAAGAUGCUGUACCAGCAGCUUUGCAUUCCCUUCGCUUCCGUGUGACCCUGUACGGCCUGAGCUCCGUAGAGCUUGUGCCUGCUUACCUGCUGUUGGCCGAGGCCAGCCUUGAUACCUCCUCCCUCUCCACGGGCUCUGACUCCCCAUUCCAGGCUGCCUCUGCUGCAUGGAUCCCUCCUCCCUUGUAUGGGUUCCGACUCCCCAUACCAGGCUGUUUGCCUGCAGGAAUGCCCUGCUCACCCUGCUCAGGUCUGGGCCGAAUCGUUCAGGCUGAAGAAUAUCUAUUCCAAGCCCAGUGGGCAGUCCUCAAAUCAACUGACUGUAGUAAUGCCACCCACUCUUUACUGCAUCGGAAUCUGGGACUUCUCUAUAUAGCUAAGAAAAACUAUGAAGAAGCCCGUUAUCAUCUGGCCAAUGAUAUUUAUUUUGCCAGUUGUGCAUUUGGAACAGAGGACAUUAGGACUUCAGGAGGCUACUUCCACCUGGCUAAUAUAUUCUAUGACCUUAAAAAGUUGGACCUGGCAGACACAUUGUACACCAAGGUCUCUGAGAUCUGGCAUGCAUAUUUGAACAAUCACUAUCAAGUCCUCUCACAGGCUCACACCCAACAAAUGGAUUUACUGGGCAAACUAUUUGAGAAUGACACUGGCUUGGAUGAAGCCCAGGAAGCAGAAGCCAUUCGCAUCCUGACUUCAAUCUUGAACAUUCGAGAAUCUACAUCUGACAAAGCCCCCCAAAAAACCAUCUUUGUUCUGAAGAUCCUGGUCAUGCUUUACUACCUGAUGAUGAAUUCUUCAAAGGCACAGGAAUAUGGCAUGAGGGCCCUCAGUCUAGCUAAAGAACAGCAGCUUGAUGUCCAUGAGCAAAGCACCAUUCAAGAGUUACUGAAUCUCAUUUCAACUGAAGACCAUCCCAUUACUUAGUGACCCAUGAGCUCUGCAUCAAGGGUUAUUCCAGGGACUACUGAAGAUCUAAUAUAUUCCAGCCUUGCACAACUGCUUUGAGUUCCUCUCCAGACUUGCCAAGCAGCAUUUUGCUUCAUGAGUAGAUCUGCACCCAGGGAGAAGAUAUGCAGGUCAAGAACCUGUCAGAGAGUUUUAUGUUCCUCACUGUAAAUUAAUUCACUCAGACACAUAUAAUAAAAAUAAGUCAGAUGGGUCACCCUUCCCCUUCAGGUAAAAUCAGCUGGAAACCACCCCCACCACCCCCCCGCUCCCAUGCCCCCUCCUUCCAUACUUCUGGGCAUUCUUAUGCUUCUCCAUGAUGGCUAUGAAGUCCCAGGGGCUUACUUGUCUUUCAGCCAUCUCUUGAUCUAAUUUUCAGCCUCAGAUGAAUUCUCAUUCUCCAGUCAACAUUGUGUAGCACUUUCUUCUUCUCUUUAAAGACAGAGCGCCUUCUUCUUAUCUCUUAACCCGUAACCCCAAAUAUGAGUCAGCUCUUUCAAAUAGACUCUUAAUGAAGACUGGAGGGUUAAGGAGGAGGAUCAACAACUCUUCAGCAGAUAAUUUAAAAGAAAAUAUUAGAACUUACCUAUUCUAAAAACAUUCUAAAAAGUCCAUUUUACUAGACUCUCACUCUGUUCUUUAUUCCUUGGCCUCUUUCUGCCUUCUUACUCCUGUCUUAUCCUCCCUGAAUUUCUGUUCAUUAACGCUUCUGCAUUGAAUAAAUUUAUAAAGUUAUUGUUUAAA